rnacentral:rRNA from 1 species
UAGACAUGCAAGUCGAACGAACCUUCGGGUUAGUGGCGGACGGGUGAGUAACACGUAAGAAUCUACCUUUAGGAAGGGGAUAACAAUUAGAGAUAAUUGCUAAUACCCUAUAUGCCGUUUGGUGAAAGAAGCAAUUCGCCUAAAGAGGAGCUUGCGUCUGAUUAGCUAGUUGGUAGGGUAAAGGCCUACCAAGGCGACGAUCAGUAGUUGGUCUGAGAGGAUGGCCAGCCACAUUGGAACUGAGACACGGUCCAGACUCC